CAUCGGGGCAGAAGAUAAAGCUGAGUUGCAACGAAUGGAGUUUGGGUUUAUUAUGAUGCAUUGCAUCGCUUCGACCGCCGCCAGCCGAUGGGUCGACGAAUUGUUAAAGUUCAAAGUGCCAGCGGCUGGAGUGACAUUGACUGCUUUACUUUUAUCUGUUUGCUAUUGAA